GACGAACGCUGGCGGCGUGCUUAACACAUGCAAGUCGAACGAAGAGCGAUGGAAGCUUGCUUCUAUCAAUCUUAGUGGCGAACGGGUGAGUAACGCGUAAUCAACCUGCCCUUCAGAGGGGGACAACAGUUGGAAACGACUGCUAAUACCGCAUACGAUCUAACCUCGGCAUCGAGGAAAGAUGAAAGGUGGCCUCUAUUUAUAAGCUAUCACUGAAGGAGGGGAUUGCGUCUGAUUAGCUAGUUGGAGGGGUAACGGCCCACCAAGGCGAUGAUCAGUAGCCGGUCUGAGAGGAUGAACGGCCACAUUGGGACUGAGACACGGCCCAGACUCCUACGGGAGGCAGCAGUGGGGAAUCUUCCGCAAUGGACGAAAGUCUGACGGAGCAACGCCGCGUGAGUGAUGACGGCCUUCGGGUUGUAAAGCUCUGUUAAUCGGGACGAAAGGCCUUCUUGCGAA
rnacentral:rRNA from 1 species